rnacentral:lncRNA from 1 species
ACAAACUAUUCCAUCUCUCCGAGAUACGGCGUGUUUAGCAGGCACUAGACGAGCCGCACAUACAUCCGUCAGUGACCCCCGGCUCACACACCAUCGUCCGCCGGCCUCGGUCAGCGUGUCGGGUCGUCUGGUGGCUGCACAAACAUACCCGGGCAGAGCUGUCUCCGAACGCUCGAAUUAGCCGCCUCUGCGGACGCGAACAGUUGCGCGCGUGCCAAAUGUAAGACAACACCCCGGCCCUGCCGGCGGCCGGUGAAGUGAUCGAGCCCGAUGCCAAACCGUCGCUGGAGCCACUACACUGGAGCCGCCGCCGCCGCCGCCGCCGCCGUCGUCGGGCGGCGAGUCUGCGCAGUAGCCGGCCGGCGGCGAGUCUGCGUCCAGUCGCGCGGUCGCACAGCCGUCCCCGAGCGCCGCUCCGCGACACGCCCGCUGCCGCCACCGCCGCACCAUGGCCGACAAAAAGGACGAGAUCCGCGCCAACAUCGAGGGCAAGGACCUGCUGGGCACCUACGGCAUCUUGGUGGCGUUCCUGCUCUUCAUCUACGUGCUCUACAACGUCAUCUACUGAUGAUGCCAUCCAGGCUGGCGCGCGAAGACGCGUCGAUGGACACAGGUGGUGCGGCCGGCCGACCGCGCCCCCGUCCGGCCCGGUGACCGACACCUGACGGCCGGCCGCCGCCGGAGCCCGCCGCCCGUGUACACCCGGAGGACGCCCGCCGGCGCCCAGUGGCGCCCCGCGGCGCCCGCCGCCGGCCGGGGGCGCCGCACGCCGCGCACCCGCUCCUCCCCGCCGCCGCCGACCAGAGGCGGGGUGCACCACCCGGCCCCUCCCCUCCCCCCACCCCCACCCCUCCAUCAAUGCACACGUGCGGGCGGCGCCAGUCGCCGGACUGGUGCGUAUGCCGGGGCCCGGGCGCUGGGCGCGCACGCGGACCGCCGCCGCGCGCCCCUCCAGCGGUAUGUCCCGGAGCUGGGCCGGAGUAUGGCUGAGUGGUAAUGUUUUAUAUGUACUGCAGACGUAGUGUCUGCAGAGUGAGUAGGCCAGCUUUACACGUAUUUGUGUAGAAAGCAUGUUGUUUGGGAACUAUGUAUCUUGUUCGCGUUUUUGUACGUGUUUGUAUACCUAAUCCUACACAUCAUAAUCAGUAUGAUGAAUACUGCUUCAAAUUACUCAGUUAGAUCCCUUCAAAGUACAGAAGUUAAAUGUACUAUGUUUUUGAAACAUAUACUUCCAUAUAUUUUUGCUCCAAAAAUACAAUAUAUGUGGAUCCCAUGUCAGGUGAUCGAUGGUUGUUAAGAAUAUUGCAUCUUGACAUCAACUAUAUUCCUAGUUGUUGAAAAAUAAAUGCGUAGAAUGUU